rnacentral:rRNA from 1 species
AGUGAACGCUGGCGGUAGGCCUAACACAUGCAAGUCGAACGGCAACACAGGAGAGCUUGCUCUCUGGGUGGCGAGUGGCGGACGGGUGAGGAAUACAUCGGAAUCUACUCUGUCGUGGGGGAUAACGUAGGGAAACUUACGCUAAUACCGCAUACGACCUCCGGGUGAAAGCAGGGGACCUUCGGGCCUUGCGCGAUUGAGUGAGCCGAUGUCGGAUUAGCUAGUUGGCGGGGUAAAGGCCCACCAAGGCGACGAUCCGUAGCUGGUCUGAGAGGAUGAUCAGCCACACUGGAACUGAGACACGGUCCAGACUCCUACGGGAGGCAGCAGUGGGGAAUAUUGGACAAUGGGCGCAAGCCUGAUCCAGCCAUACCGCGUGGGUGAAGAAGGCCUUCGGGUUGUAAAGCCCUUUUGUUGGGAAAGAAAUCCAGCUGGCUAAUACCCGGUUGGGAUGACGGUACCCAAAGAAUAAGCACCGGCUAACUUCGUGCCAGCCGCCGCCGUAA